AAUGCAACGACAUGAACGCGGAGCUACUUUUCUCUGUGUACGGAUACGGAUAGAUCCUGACACGCACGGGCGAAUGUAUAUAUUUUUAUCCACAAAAUCCGUCCCGACAGCUCAAAAAUAUUAAUCGUUAGGCUACUAUAGAUUCAUCAAAGUGUAUUGGGCAAAAGUAAAGCCAUUUGGACAACAUUUUCUAAUUAAUAACAUAUUCAGAUAUUAAUCAUCUUUCUCCUGUAGACAAUCUGCCAAUAUUAUAGCUGUUUUAAAAAUCAGAAUCUCCGUCUUUCCAUUGUAGUAUUUAACAUGAAGGAACAUUUUUUUUAGCAAUUGCUAGUGUGUGUAAAUGUAUUUAAACUUGCUGUCUCAUUGUAAACGAUUCUUUUUAAUCAGAUCUGUCCAACGAACACUGGAUUUUUCAUAGUAUUUGCACAUUUGCCUCAUACAUGUAUGCAGGCAUCACAAAAAGAACUUUUGCCACAUUAAGUUCUAUUUUCUAAGUUGAAUUUCCAAUGAUCUAUUUUCUGACUGAAAAAAAGGCCUCAUCCCACCCUGCUUUAUUUAAUCGAAAAUUAACCAAGACCUAUAAAAUCAUCAAGAUACCUCUCCAUCAAACAUACACACACAAAAAAAUAUGAUGUCUGUUUGAUUACUGAAAGAUAAUCUCCAGUAAAUAUGCAUGUUCAUGAGGUUUACUUGCACAAUCCAGGCUGGCUCCCUUUAAUCUAAUAUGCUCUUGACUACGUAGGUCUACUUGCUUUGUGAAGUGACUUGAUGCUGUUGCAGACAGUAGAUGUCAAGCUUGUGUUACAGGAAUGCAGUUGUAGAUAGAUGCCUUGAGAAUAGUGCGUGGCACACCAGAUGCCACGCUCAACUAAAGUCUCAAAUGUGUAUGUAAAACAAAACUUGUGAACUUAAUGAUUAUUUGAACAAAUAAAAAGACUAUAACAUG